rnacentral:rRNA from 1 species
CAAUAGCGUAUAUUAAAGUUGUUGCGGUUAAAAGCUCGUAGUUGGAUUUCUGUUGAGGAUGGCCGGUCCGCUCUAUGAGCGUGUAUCUGGUUCAGCCUUGGCAUCCUCUUGGGGAACGUAGCUACGCUUGAUUGCGCGGUGCGGUAUUCAAGACUUUUACUUUGAGGAAAUUAGAGUGUUCACGGCAGGCAUUCGCCUUGAAUAUAUUAGCAUGGAAUAAUAAUAUAGGACCUUUGUUCUAUUUUGUUUGGUUUCUUAGAGCGAAGGUAAUGAUUAAUAGGGAUAAUUGGGGGCGAUUUGUAUUAACGCGUCAGAGGUGGAAUUCUUGGAUUGCGUUACGACAAACUAACUGCGAAAGACAUUUGUCCAAGGAUGUUUUCAUUGAUCAAGAACGAAAGUUAGGGGA